AAGAGCUCGGGUUAAUUUCGAGUGUUAUCUGCAAUCUAGAUGUUUAUAAAUCAUUUCAGUCGUUGAUAUAAUAAUUAAAGGUCGACUGAACAUGAAUUAUAUUAUACAAUUUAAAGCGCAUUUCUGUUUAUGCACGUGAACCCGUCUCACGUUAUUUUCGCAGUUAUAUAAAGUAGCAAAUUAUCGUUCCUGAAUAGGUGGCGCCGUGGUAGCGGAUCCUGUUCCUCUUCUUCCGGUUUCUGCACUGAGCAACUAUUUCAGUUAUAUUUUUAAUUAACGAUGCCAAGUACUUGUUGUUGUGUACCUGGAUGUCAUUUAAGAGGAGGACAUGCAUUUCCAAAUGACUUAAAAAGAAGGAAAAGUUGGAUCAACGCCAUGGCCCAUACGCAGAUUGGACGAGAACACGAUGAUAUCGUGGAGUCCAUCUCAAUCAGCUGUUGUUUGCAAGGCACGUUUUACUGAAAAAGACUACGUGCAGGAAACUAUUCAUGGGCGCAAACCCACCAUACAGAGACUUAAGUCUACUGCCAUUCCCAGCCUAUUUUCCUGGACCAAGCAAGAGACUGAAUCGUCCGCAAAAAAAAAUAAUCAGGGCAGUUUCCUGUGAAAACAAAAGAACUAAACUUGAAUAAUAUUGUAGUAGAAAUCUAGAGGAAAGUUUUGAUUGUAAAGUUGGUUUUCCUGAAGAAGUCAUUCAUACUGCAGAAAGGAUUUAUGACUGUCCACCACCAACUGCCGAGCUAAUGUUGAGCUUCACAGAUGGAAUUACGCAAACACCAUCAAUGCCUAUGUUUUCAGCAGAGAAUUUUGAAAUGAAGACACGUGACACAGCCAUGCAUUUUUAUACCGGUUUAGAGUUGUAUACUAAAUUUUUAUUUGUUUUGACCACACUUGGUCCAGCAGCACAUUGUUUGAGAUACAUAUAUUUUCAAAUUGAUAGGGUGUCAGUUGAAAAUCAGUUUUUUUAUGACUUUGAUGAAAUUGAGGCAUCAUACAACCAAUUUUGAACUGUCUAGAUUCUAGAUUGAAUCUAGUGUUAAGAAUAUUGUGUAUACAUGGAUUGUUUUUAUGUCUAAACAGUGGUGUGAGGCUAACACUUGGCCAUCUAGUGGUUAAGUCAGGUAUUUUUCACCAUCCAACUUCAAAUUAAAGUUUCCUACGACUUGGAUUAUUAUUGACAGCACAGAAUAUCCCGUGAUAAAACCUAAAGCUCCUAGAGCUCAGGCAACCUUUUCAUCAAAUAAAAACAGAAACACUGAAAAUUCUUGAAUGUUCGACACCUGGUGGUUUAGUCAACUAUGUCUCUAUGUCACAUAGAGCGAAUUAUUGGACUUGGCAAAACAUACAAAAUUCUAAUAAAUCCUAUGAAUGGAACUGAAACAAAACUUUCAUCUGAAAUAACAUUUAGUUGUUUUAUGUUGUGUAAUUUAAGAACUUGUAUUGUGCCAAAGGAUGCAUAAAUAAAAGUGACGCAAUGAA